rnacentral:rRNA from 1 species
UGGCGACGGGUGAGUAACGCGUGGGCAACCUGCCCCGUACCGGGGGAUAACAGCCGGAAACGGCUGCUAAUACCGCAUACGCUUGGAAGGCCGCAUGGCUUUUCAAGCAAAACUCCGGUGGUACGGGAUGGGCCCGCGUCUGAUUAGCUUGUUGGCGGGGUAACGGCCCACCAAGGCGACGAUCAGUAGCCGGCCUGAGAGGGCGGCCGGCCACAUUGGGACUGAGACACGGCCCAGACUCCUACGGGAGGCAGCAG